AUGAAAACCAAACAAACAACAAAAAUAAAAUUCCUCUGGUGCCCUCGUUUCUGUGAUAGUGUCCAAGUCAGAUCCCAAAUCUGUGCUGGGUAGUCCCACCAAGUCUCCAGUAGGAUUAAUGCUAGAUGUGGGACUGAUCAUGGCUUCCAGAUGCUGGCACUGGGGCCAGAGUCUUCAUCCAGCAGCUUUCUGUAUGUCUUUCCUUGGUCCCUGCCAUGGCUCCUUACCCUGUGUGUCCUUGUGCCACUCUCCCAGUUGCUAUGGCACCGUCAGAGAUAGCCCAAGGCUUCUCCUAGUCUUAUAUAGUUCCUCCCAACCCUUGCACAACCUCCUCUGUUGCAUAUUUCUGGUGCAUCACUGUCGUCUUGCAUCACUGGUGGCAAGGCAGAGGGAAUACUGUUGGCCAACUCAUGCAUUGAGGUGAGUCUUGACUUCCCACAUGUUGCCCCACUAUGACUUAAGGCUGUUUAAGUUCUGCAUCCCUCUCACACUGCUGGGAGCAGGGCAGGAGGGGUGGUGGUGUUUACUCAUUACCUUCACCACCACAGCUUCAGUCUAACCUUGUUGCUAGAGGUUAGAGGUUUCAGUCAGCUGCUAUGGUGCUGGACAAAAAAAAGAAAACAAAAACUGGCAGCCCAUAGGGGAAGGAGCAGCUUCCUGGUCACUCACUCCUUUGCUGGUGAAAUUUGCUGCCAGGCUGCAAUAUGCUGUGUUUGGAGGAAGGCAAAAGAGUGCCCUUCUAAUCAGACGAACUCUCUCUGUCUACCACAUGAGGACAUGAGCAAGAAGAUAGCAGCUUGAAACCAGAAACAGGGCCUCCAUCAAACCUGACCAUGCUGGCACCCUGGUCUCACUCAGCUUCUAGAACUGUGAGAAGUAAAGUUCUGUUACUCAGGCCAAUCAGCUACGGAAUUUUGUAUAAAAAUUCAAACUAGGACAACUAAAUGCAUGUAUUUUUGAAUUGUUAAAUAUUCCUGGUGACGAUGGAGCAUUGUUUGCUUGGGGGCUGUGUAUGACUGUAGCUAUGUCAGUAAUCAGCUGAAAGUUCAAUGAGCUGGAUGCCUAUGAUGGUUCAUUGACAUGGCUGGCAUGUGUCACAAUUCUAUGAGGGAGCAUCUUGAGUAGGAGUGGCAAGAGAUGGAAGUCAUUAGGCCACUUAAAGGCUGUGUCCUUAGUUGGAACAGCACCAUUUCCACAGUAUUCUAUGGCCAAAGCAAUCCUACUGCCUUCCCAGAGUUAGAGAAAAAUCCUCAGGGUAGAUACAUGGCAAGAUCACACUGCAGUAGAGCUCUAAAGGACAAGAGAGACUGAAUGGCCACCUUUAAGAAACACAGUCCCAUACAAUGGGCUUGUAUGUGUAGUUUUCUAUCUAAAGAAUUCAGAUGUUAAGUUAUGAGACAUAAAACCUUCUAGAUUUUUCAUAUGAUGCACUUUGAAAUAAACUGUAUAACACCAUAUACUUAA